rnacentral:misc_RNA from 1 species
AUGGAUCAUUACCAAAGAUCCCAUCCACGUAUUGUGAACUGUUUUGACUAACGGUCAGUGGGAGCUGUAGUAGGUGCUUCGGUGCCUGCUACUGUAACCGCUGCCCGUAUCAACAAACGUAUAUUCCUAAACUGACGUCUCUUUAGUAAAUUAACUAAAGACAACUUUUAGCAACGGAUCUCUAGGCUCUU